CUGAUAUCGCUUGAACUCGCGACUGCGUCGCUCGUUAUCGACGAGGAUGACGAGUCUCUGUGGAGUGGCGCGGAGUUUCCGGUCUUGGAGUGCAUCGAUUUGAGAAACGGCUUGAAAAUCGCUCGAAAGCUUGCGAUGAAUCCUGAUUCUUCUCGUCUGCGUUCGGAUUUUCCUCUCUUCAGUUCCGGGUCGUUAGAUCGCUUGGACCGCUGCCGGCUCCGUAGCCUCCGGUUCC
rnacentral:lncRNA from 1 species